rnacentral:lncRNA from 1 species
CCCAAAAACUGAUUCUUUGCCCUGACUUUUGUUCUUUGUUUUAGGUGAAGGAGAUUGGAGAGGAUUAUGAUUUUAUCAGUUUCCACAGGUCCAGGGCUCCAGCCAUUUGAUGCACGGAGGAAGGAGGAUUGGUCCAUCAGUAGCAGAGACAGAGACUUGUCCAUCAGCAUUUCUUGGAUGGGUUCCCUUAUCUCUACUUACACUGCCACCACCCCAG